GCAUUGGUGGUAUAGUGGUGAGCAUAGCUGCCUUCCAAGCAGUGAACCUGGGUUAAAUUCCUAGCUAAUGCA
rnacentral:tRNA from 1 species